GCCCUCCUGUCACUCAGCAACCACCUUCCAUCAGAGAGUUGCGGUCACUGAGUUCCCUUUUCACUCAUCCCCUUGGACAGGUCUCCCCAUCCAAACGUCGUUCCAGCUCUGACGUUCAGACCUCGCCUGUUGCACACAGAGUGUGCUCUCCCCUUUGUUAAGCCCUUAAAUAAACACCUUAAAACUGUUCCUGCUUCCGUCUGUGUCUGCAUGUGGGACUUAUAAUAUUUUAAUAUUUGGGGAAUGUCUGUUGCCGUCCUGAGUCACUGGCUGCCCACGAAGUUCUGAGUUGACUGGUAUAGUCUGCCCCAUCACAGGUGAGGAGGACUCAAACUACAGACAGUGGCCAUAGGACUUUGUGGAGUGGUCCCAGCCGAACAAUCUCCUAAUCAACGCAAGGAAAACCAAGGACAUGGUGAUAGAUUCCAACAGGCGAAGACCCACAACGCUGACACCUAGAUCACC